rnacentral:tRNA from 1 species
GCCGUCUUAGUUAAAUGGUAUAACAGAGCCAUGGUAAGGCCCAAUUAUAAGUUCGAUUCUUAUAGAUGGCACCA